rfam:Schistosoma haematobium scaffold417_10, whole genome shotgun sequence.
AUCUGGCUGACGAAUCCUAAAUGGGACGAAACGCGUGUUUCGAGAU